rnacentral:rRNA from 1 species
AACGAACGCUGGCGGCAGGCUUAACACAUGCAAGUCGAGCGAGACCUUCGGGUCUAGCGGCGGACGGGUGAGUAACGCGUGGGAACGUGCCCUUCUCUACGGAAUAGCCCCGGGAAACUGGGAGUAAUACCGUAUACGCCCUUUUGGGGAAAGAUUUAUCGGAGAAGGAUCGGCCCGCGUUGGAUUAGGUAGUUGGUGGGGUAAUGGCCCACCAAGCCGACGAUCCAUAGCUGGUUUGAGAGGAUGAUCAGCCACACUGGGACUGAGACACGGCCCAGACUCCUACGGGAGGCAGCAGUGGGGAAUCUUAGACAAUGGCGGCAACCCUGAUCUAGCCAUGCCGCGUGAGUGAUGAAGGCCUUAGGGUUGUAAAGCUCUUUCAGCUGGGAAGAUAAUGACGGUACCAGCAGAAGAAGCCCCGGCUAACUCCGUG